rfam:Schistosoma haematobium scaffold829_15, whole genome shotgun sequence.
GUACUGCUGAAGAGUCUCAUACUAGGACGAAACAGUUGUCCAGUAC